AUGAACGCUGGCGGCGUGCCUAAUACAUGCAAGUCGAGCGAACAGACGAGGAGCUUGCUCCUCUGACGUUAGCGGCGGACGGGUGAGUAACACGUGGAUAACCUACCUAUAAGACUGGGAUAACUUCGGGAAACCGGAGCUAAUACCGGAUAAUAUAUUGAACCGCAUGGUUCAAUAGUGAAAGACGGUUUUGCUGUCACUUAUAGAUGGAUCCGCGCCGCAUUAGCUAGUUGGUAAGGUAACGGCUUACCAAGGCAACGAUGCGUAGCCGACCUGAGAGGGUGAUCGGCCACACUGGAACUGAGACACGGUCCAGACUCCUACGGGAGGCAGCAGUAGGGAAUCUUCCGCAAUGGGCGAAAGCUUGACGGAGCAACGUCGCGUGAGUGAUGAAGGUCUUCGGAUCGUAAAACUCUGUUAUUAGGGAAGAACAAAUGUGUAAGUAACUAUGCACGUCUUGACGGUACCUAAUCAGAAAGCCACGGCUAACUACGUG
rnacentral:rRNA from 1 species